AUUUCUUUUGUUUGUUUACGAUAAUGUGGUCUAUACUUAUUUUGUUUGCUGGUGUUCCAGAGAGUCACCGAUGCCGAUCUAAUAGCAUUGGUUUCAGAUGAAGUUUUUCAACCGGAAGUUGUUUGGAAGCUUGAUGAUUUGCAGGUUACUUGUGGAACUCUUGGCCUUUCUACUGCCACGGUUAAACUCAUUGAUGCUGCUGGGGUGGAGCAUGUUGCGUGCUCAGUUGGAACCGGGCCAGUAGAUUCAGCUUAUAAAGCUAUUGAUCUCAUUACAAAGGAACCAAUAACACUACUCGAGUACUCCAUGAAUGCUGUUACAGAAGGCAUUGAUGCAAUCGCCACCACUCGUGUUCUAAUUCGUACCGAGAAUAGUCAUGUUUUAACUCAUGCUUUGACGGGUGAAACUGUUCAUCGAACAUUUAGUGGAACCGGGGCAGGAAUGGAUAUCGUUGUUUCGAGUGUGAAGGCUUAUAUUGGUGCAUUAAAUAAGAUGUUGGGUUUCAAGGA